CGUUGCAGUCAUACUAUAAGGAUCCAUUCACACGUCCAUAGUGUGUUGCGGAUCCGGAAUACACCCGGUCGGCACCCUUCAUAGAACUGCCUAUUCUUGUCCGCAAUUGUGGACAAGAAUAGGACAUGUUCUAUUUUUUUUUUGUGGG